rnacentral:lncRNA from 1 species
CUAAGGCCGAGCCCCACCUCCUCGUCUCCUGAGAACCAGCCCAGGCCCUUUGCAUCCUGAGGUGGGGUCGGUAACUCCAGCAGGUAUCCAGCGCUCGACAUAUCCCAGUUGUGAUCGCAGACACACAAUUUUGUCCACCUACCGAAUGUGCCCAAGGUGGAGCAAUGCUUUAACGAUCCCAAGUUCUCCUAGUCCCCAGGUGAGGCUGAGGGCAACUACAUGAGGAAUUCCUCUAUAUAUAGAUUCUUCAGGAGCCCGGGCAACGUGAGGCCUAUAGGCAUCCUUCCUGCCUCCUGCCAUCCCUCCCUCCUCCACACAGAGAUGACCACCUUUGACUUUUCCUCUAUUUGAUUAUUUCUAAAAAUGUAAAAAGAUUAUUAAUCAUCAGUGAAGGAGUUCAUCAUGAUUUUGUAGACCAUUGCUCCUCAAACUUCAAUAUGCAUAAGAACCAUGAGGGAUCUUGUAAGAGUGCAGAUUCCAGAUCAACAGGAGUUCGGGGGAGGCAGCUGAGAGCCUGCAUUUCUCCAAAGGCCCAGGAAGUGUAGAUGCUGCUGGUCCACAAACCACAGUCUGAGAAGCCAACAUCUCCAUGAUUGCAUCAAGACAACCGAGGCUAGUUGUAUCCAAUACAAGGAGGAAAACAGCUAAAAACUCAGUUGUCAACGUCAAGGGUGUAUUACGAGAAUAGAGAGAAUAC